GGCACUCAAAGAAGAGAUUGAAACCCCUGCUAUGAAACCACCAGAGAGAAACACAGCCCCUUGGGCUUGAUUUGGAUUUCAGGGAAUUACACUGUGCAUUUCAGAGGUGCUCCUUUCCUCUGGUGACUCUAGGGGAGCAGGGAGGGUGGCAGCAAGAACUCUCUGCUCUGCCUGUCUGACAUGAUCUUGGUAAUUCCCAGAGGAAAUAGCUGAAAAGUGGGAACCUGGAGCACCUGGCUGUGAAUAUACAGAAAUAAAACCUUGUGUUUCAUUAUUUUUAAAUAAUACAGUUUCUUAAGCCAGAAAUUUAUUUCAGGAGGCUGACUGAG